rnacentral:rRNA from 1 species
AUUGAACGCUGGCGGCAGGCCUAACACAUGCAAGUCGAGCGGAUGAAGGGAGCUUGCUCCUGGAUUCAGCGGCGGACGGGUGAGUAAUGCCUAGGAAUCUGCCUGGUAGUGGGGGAUAACGUCCGGAAACGGGCGCUAAUACCGCAUACGUCCUGAGGGAGAAAGUGGGGGAUCUUCGGACCUCACGCUAUCAGAUGAGCCUAGGUCGGAUUAGCUAGUUGGUGGGGUAAAGGCCUACCAAGGCGACGAUCCGUAACUGGUCUGAGAGGAUGAUCAGUCACACUGGAACUGAGACACGGUCCAGACUCCUACGGGAGGCAGCAGUGGGAAUAUUGGACAAUGGGCGAAAGCCUGAUCCAGCCAUGCCGCGUGUGUGAAGAAGGUCUUCGGAUUGUAAAGCACUUUAAGUUGGGAGGAAGGGCAGUAAGUUAAUACCUUGCUGUUUUGACGGUACCAACAGAAUAAGCACCGGCUAACUUCGUG